AGAGGGUGCAAGCGUUAAUCGGAAUUACUGGGCGUAAAGCGCGCGUAGGUGGUUUGUUAAGUCGGGGGUGAAAUCCUGGAGCUCAACUCCAGAACUGCCUUCGAUACUGAAGAGCUCGAGUCCGGGAGAGGUGAGUGGAACUGCGAGUGUAGAGGUGAAAUUCGUAGAUAUUCGCAAGAACACCAGUGGCGAAGGCGGCUACCUGGACCGGUUCUGACACUGAUGCGCGAAAGCGUGGGUAGCAAACAGGAUUAGAUACCCUGGUAGUCCACGCUGUAAACGAUGGGUGCUCGGUGUCGCGGGUAUCGACCCCUGCGGUGCCUUAGCUAACGCGUUAAGCACCCCGCCUGGGGAGUACGGUCGCAAGGCUG
rnacentral:rRNA from 1 species